GCCAGCACAACCAUGCCAGUCACCGGCAAGAGUUUCCGCUGGUGCCGGGCCAACUCAGAGUCAAAGGAAGAUGAGCAGGAAUCAGAGGAGGUUCAAUUAAAACUAGAAGAGACCCGCAAGGCGCAAAACUUGAAGAAGAGGCCCAACGGGGUGAGUGCUGUGGCCCUGCUGGUGGGAGAAAAGGUACACGAAGAGACCACCCUAGUGGAUGAUCCCCUUCAGAUGAAGACAGGCGGUAUGGUGGAUGUGAAGAAACUGAAGGAAAGAGGCAAAGAUAAGAUCAGUGAAGAGGAAGACCUCCACCUGGGGACAUCAUUUUCCACAGAAACCAGCCGAAGGGAUGAGGAUGCUGACAUGAUGAAGCACAUUGACACAGAGCUGAAGAAGAGGAAGGGGGUUGUAGAACACGAGGAACAGAAAGUCAAGCCGAAGAAUGCAGAGGACUGUCUUUACGAACUUCCUGAAAACAUCCGUGUUUCCUCAGCAAAGACUGAAGAGAUGCUUUCCAACCAGAUGCUGUGCGGUAUCCCCGAGGUGGACCUAGGCAUCGACGCUAAAAUAAAAAAUAUCAUUUCCACAGAGGAUGCCAAGGCCCGUCUGCUGGCAGAGCAGCAGAACAAGAAGAAAGACAGCGAGACAUCUUUCGUGCCCACCAACAUGGCCGUGAAUUACGUGCAGCACAACCGAUUUUAUCACGAGGAGCUCAAUGCCCCCAUACGGAGAAACAAAAGAGCCCAAAGCCCGACCCUUAAGAGUGGGUGACACGGAGAAGCCAGAGCUUGAGCAUCCCCUCCUAACUGCAAGUGUCCUGCUAAUGAGAAGGCCACCGACGACUAUCACUAUGAGAAGUUCAAGAAGAUGAACAGACGGUACUAAGGGUGGCGAAAGGGAGAAGUGCAGAAUGGGAUGUAAAUAGCGCUAUCCCUUCUGUACCCCUCCCCCCGCCCCAACAAAAUGCUUCCUGGACAGAAGUUUGUUUAUUUGCUAGCAGACCAUUCCAAAAACAGACUCUUAUUAGCCCUGCUGCUUACCUGCUGGAUUUUUCAGGCACUGCAUUUAUAACCUUUUGAAACAAAACAAUGUGUAGUUUCCCUAUUUGAGGGCAGACUCUAUUCUUGUGAGCAUUAUUAAAUCUUGUUUGUAAAUAUG